CCUACGGGAGGCAGCAGUGAGGAAUAUUGGUCAAUGGACGAGAGUCUGAACCAGCCAAGUAGCGUGAAGGAUGACUGCCCUAUGGGUUGUAAACUUCUUUUAUAUGGGAAUAAAAUGUUCCACGUGUGUGAUUUUGUAUGUACCAUAUGAAUAAGGAUCGGCUAACUCCGUGCCAGCAGCCGCGGUAAUACGGAGGAUCCGAGCGUUAUCCGGAUUUAUUGGGUUUAAAGGGAGCGUAGAUGGAUUGUUAAGUCAGUUGUUCAAGUUUGCGGCUCAACCGUAAAAUUGCAGUUGAAACUGGCAGUCUUGAGUACAGUAGAGGUGGGCGGAAUUCGUGGUGUAGCGGUGAAAUGCUUAGAUAUCACGAAGAACUCCGAUUGCGAAGGCAGUUCACUGGACUGCAACUGACACUGAGGCUCGAAAGUGUGGGUAUCAAACAGGAUUAGAUACCCUAGUAGUC
rnacentral:rRNA from 1 species